rnacentral:rRNA from 1 species
AUACGGAGGGUGCAAGCGUUGUUCGGUAUCACUGGGCGUAAAGGGCGCGCAGGCGGUUUGGUAAGUCAGAUGUGAAAGCCCAUGGCUCAACCAUGGAAGUGCAUUUGAAACUGUCAGACUUGAGUACUAGAGGGGAAAGUGGAAUUCCCGGUGUAGAGGUGAAAUUCGUAGAUAUCGGGAGGAAUACCGGUGGCGAAGGCGACUUUCUGGCUAGAUACUGACGCUGAGGCGCGAAAGCGUGGGGAGCAAACAGGAUUAGAAACCCGGGUAGUCC